rnacentral:rRNA from 1 species
UACGUAGGGGGCAAGCGUUGUCCGGAUUUAUUGGGCGUAAAGCGCUCGCAGGUGGUUCGAUGCGUCGUGCGUGAAAGACCCCGGCUCAACUGGGGAGGGUCGUGCGAUACGGUCGAACUGGAGGCCAGUAGGGGGAAGCGGAAUUCCGGGUGUAGUGGUGGAAUGCGUAGAGAUCCGGAGGAACACCAGCGGCGAAGGCGGCAUCCUGGACUGGUCCUGACACUCAUGAGCGAAAGCGUGGGGAGCGAGCCGG